rnacentral:rRNA from 1 species
GCCGUGAAGUUUGGGAUAACUUGCUGAAAGGCGAGCUAAUACCGGAUGUGAAUUCUUGAAGGCAUCUUUAGGAAUUCAAAGUUGGGGACCGCAAGGCCUGACGCUUUACGAUAAGCCCGCGGCCUAUCAGCUAGUUGGUGAGGUAACGGCUCACCAAGGCUAAGACGGGUAGCUGGUCUGAGAGGACGACCAGCCUCACUGGAACUGAGACACGGUCCAGACACCUACGGGUGGCAGCAGUCGAGAAUUUUUCUCAAUGGGCGAAAGCCUGAAGGAGCGACGCCGCGUGGGGGAUGAAUGGCUUCGGCCCGUAAACCCCUGUCAUUUGUGAACAAAUUGCUUCACCUAACACGUGAAGCAUUGAUUGUAACGGAAGAGGAAGGGACGGCUAACUCUGUGCCAGCAGCCGCGGUAAUACAGAGGUCCCAAGCGUUGUUCGGAUUCACUGGGCGUAAAGGGUGCGUAGGCGGUUUGAUAAGUCUGAUGUGAAAUCCCGCAGCUUAACUGCGGAACUGCAUUGGAAACUAUUUGACUAGAGGAAUGGAGGGGAGACUGGAAUACUUGGUGUAGCAGUGAAAUGCGUAGAUAUCAAGUGGAACACCAGUGGCGAAGGCGAGUCUCUGGACAUUUCCUGACGCUGAGGCACGAAAGCCAGGGGAGCAAACGGGAUUAGAUACCCUGGUAGUC